CUGCUGCUACCCCCUGCCGCAUCUCCACUCCACAGUCUGAUGCUGCUCUCUCUCUCUCUCUCUCUCUCAACAGCUUGGGAAGGGGAAAAGGUGGAGCUCGUCAAGAGAUGGGGUGGCGUUGGGGAUUCCCUCAUCUCCAUGUUGUUGGUGACAAAAAACUCGAAACCCUAGAUUACUAUGUGUGCUAUUUAAGGAGAAGAGAAUGGAGUAGGCAGAGACGUGAAGGAGCCGGAAGUGAUUGUUGCUAGCUUCUUUGCGGAAGAUAGGUGGCUAUCACAAGAGAAGAAGAAGCAAUACUUAAUUACAACAUGUGAUUGGUGCUGCACUACGUGCCCUGUGACACCCCACAUCUCAUCUUGAUCGAUGUGAGAUUAGAUCUUAGGAUGGCCUGAUGCAUUCUACUGAAGUGAUUUUUUUUUGUCUGACUUAUGUCACAAGGUAAGCUGAAUUCGGAUCUGGUCAGUUAAUUAUGUCACUAUUUCCUAGCAAUUGGAUUUCCUAAAUGUUGCUAUCUGUUUUGUUCAUCUUACUAAUUUGGGUUUUGUCAACUACACGGCUGAUUUUUGAUGGUUUGUUAAACAAUAGACAGUAAUUAUUGUGGCUAAUAGAUGAUUGUUUCAUUUUUAGCAUUGGAUGGAGAACAUACCACCCAAGCCCACACUGUGCGGAUGCAUGGAUCUCAAAGAGGAGCAUCUGUUGGACGCUGCCGUGGCAGUUGCAUUUGUUUUACUAUUAGUACUUUACUUGUAUGCAUGCUCUCAUUUUUUAUUUUUAUCAGUCCACUUGUGCAGUUAACAUUUACACGGUCAGCUCCUUUAAUAUAUUUUAGAAAUAGCCAAGAUUUUGGUGUCAACUCUACUUGAGAGAAGGGAGACAGGACUAAGUCGAAGCCUCAGAUCUAAAAUUGAUCUGCUGUUAUUAAUUUCAGGCAAUUAGUUGAUCAGGCAAUGCAAGUACACUGUGCACCUGCUGCUAACUGAGUUUAAUAGCCUCCUCUGAUGUAGGGUCAUUGGUGAAGGCUGGUGCACUAGAUUUUCACUUGGCGUCAUUUGUUAGUUUGAUAUGCUUCGUUAGGUGCUCAUUUGCACCUUCCUUUCUAGGCUUUGCAGGCAAUAUAUUAUUAGUUGCACGAGUCGAGAUAUUGUGUAGAAAAUCCUGAAAUCCCGCAGUCUGUAUCUAAGGACAAAAUUCAUGAAUAUUUGCUGCCGCAUAAGUGUUUUUUUCCCUCUUAUUACUAAGCGCUAGACUGUGGCUAUACAAGUUCUUCAUUCCUUUUUUGGUCGUUUAAUGCUCAAUGCUGACUAACAAAACGCUAUGUUGAUGUCGAAGUUUGAAUGUAAAUUGAUUACUCUUUCAACACUAAAGUGCAUCCUUUAUAUUUUGUCCGAGAUUCGUUUUCUUGGAUAACCAUGUCUGUUGCACCAGCAUCUAACUAAGGGCGACGUCACUUGCUGUUAAUUAAUAUACCCCAUGUUCUCCUACUCCUCACAUCUCAAUUGUUUACUGUGCUCUAUUCUGUUCUGCUGUCAGGGUUACGGAGAAGGAGAGAAAUCCACCAUAUGUGUAUCCAGUGUCCACUGUCCACAUGUAGUUUAGUGUAAGCAUGAUUUCAAAGCAUACAUUUAUCUAUCUCCAGCUGUGACUCAAAAUAAGCUGCAAGCCAGCAAGUAUGUGCUUUAUUGUAUCUCCCUUCCUUGAUUUUUUUCUUCUUUACCUAUGAUAUUUCUUUCGCAGUACCUGCUUUUGUUCCCGUGAAAUGAUUUCUCUGGGUGUGGUUGGGGUCAUUCUCUAGCCCCUCAUGUUUCGAAUUCAUGUUACAUUUCAGCUCCUCUAGGAUUAUAGCCAGCAAUGUACAUAGUAGAUGAAGAUAAAAAAUUGUUUAUGAUGCAAAGGUUUUAGUGGACAUAUAAUUAGAUAUUUUAUUCCUUGGAAUUUUAGCUAAUUAGUUAUAUACUUCCUAUUAAUUGAUCUGCUGGUUGCCUCUUUUGUUUAUUACCUAAAUAUAGCAUCGAAAACGCGUCCAAUAACUAUAGCAAGCGCCCUUUCUGUUUAUUUUGCUUUGUAUUAGAGUAUGAAAUUAAGAGAGGAACCAUUAUGUUGUGAGAUCUUCAGCAUAAUUCUACACAUCGGACAUUUGAUCAAAGACCAAUUACUUGACUUGAGACAUAUAUGCUUGACAAUACUUUUCAGUAUCAGAAAGUAGCCAGUGCAUAAAAGAACACGUUUUGUGCUUCAUAAGGAUUCCGAUUCCCUUGUAUAAUUAGCAACUGAGUCUGAUUAAUUCCAAUUUGGCAAUGAAGAAAGUCACUGGUGAGCCUAGAAUUUGAACAACAGGAUUUCAAUAAAAAAAUAAGGAAAUUUAUACCUCAAUGCCUGAAACUUAGUCCAUGCCCAUAUCUUCUCCCUCUACAAAAAAAUGUACAUUGAUUUCAUUUGCCAUGAGGGUCAAUUCCUUCUUUUGCACCUCUGCAUGCACACCACUUUGCUGAUAUCAUCUGAAGGCAUCUGAAACAAGGUCUUUUCAGACAUAGUUUUCAACAUAUUUUAGAUAGUUAAUUGUUUCUAUAUACCCCCUGUUGCGCACUUCAUUGUUUAAUUUAGCAUGGAAAUUUAUACAAUUUUUGUUUGUCAUGACAAAAGGUUGCUUCACACUACCUUAUUGUUUCUCAUUGCUUAAUAUGACAAUUUUUGUUUCUCAUUUCUUAAUUACAUGGUUAAUAUGAUUUGCUUCUAUGCACCUUCCUAUUCCGUUAGCUCAUUUAUCUUAUAUAAGUUUUCUUUUAGAAUCCUACGUUUUCUUGGAGCUGCUCUUUUGCAAUGCUAUUUGUGCAUAUAUCGUCGUUGAAAUCAGCAAUCUGCAUGUACUCAGUACUUCCAUCAGUUGUUUCACAAUUGAAAAUCCCCCCUAUAACCAUGCAAUGCAUCUGGUUCUUGAAUAUUCAGGGCAUAUCCACAAUAUGUGCUCUAUUUCCUUUCCAUGUUUCUAUUCCCAAUAUAUCUCCUUCAAACUCUGUUGCAAAAUCUUUACACUUUCCGUUGCCUAAUUGUAGUAGUUGCAUUCUGUAACACAAGUUCUGUCACGUUAGUGAUAGUUUUGUACUAUCACAAUCUUAGAUUACUUGUGCUGGCAAAUUUUGUUUAUUACAGUUACCACGAACCAUAAGAAGCUGGAGCUUACUGAUAUUGGACUUGCAGGAAAGGAAACACUGAUAUGAUUGAUGACCAGAGUGGGAUAUCCUGAUGGAUUCACUCUUUUCUGGAAUGCCUACAACAUUACAAAAAUUAUGAACUGAAUUGAGAAAAAAGGGUAUACAAGUAACAUGUUGGCUAUCAUAAUACAUGUUAUUUUCUAUAUCCUGCAGCUUCCUUUCGGUUUAAAGUGCACAUUCUCAAAUUUCUAUUUAUUUUCAGCGAACCCUCCAUGGAAAGAUAUUUAUUGUGGCUCGUUCAGAUAUGUAGAUAACAUUAGUUAAUUGCAUGCUUACAUCAGCAUGCUUAUGGACAGCUUGCUUUUUUUUGAGUGAAAGAGCGCUUACAAUAGCUGGGGAAACCCGAGAAAUUAUGUUCAGUUACAAGCUCCCUUUUGACUAGGAAAGAGACACCAGAAGACCUGGCAUGCUUUGCAAGAGCAUCAUCACAUCUAUUAGAAUCUCUUUUGACUAGGAAAAUCGUAUGAUCCUGGAAGGCCUUCAGGGUCUUCUUGGCUUCCUCAUACAUGUUCGAGUGUUUUGAUCUAUCAGGUUCUUGCUAGCGAAGAUUCUUUGCCGCAGCCGAGCAGUCAAGCUCCAGGACAAUUUUUGUGUGCCCUAGGGGAUUCCAGAGCAAGCAGAGCCCCUUUUGCAUCCCAUGAACCUUCUGCAAGUGGCCAAUAAACUGACCCAGUUCAGGCUCCACAGUAAGCUGUAGUUCCCUCCAUCAGGACCCGGUGCUAAUCCCUUGGACCUAUU